rnacentral:lncRNA from 1 species
GUGCUCCCGGCAGGCGGGGCUGGCUGUUGGAGGAAUGUGCGAGGAUCUCCGUGGCCGGUGUCUGAAGUCGUCAGUUUACUGCUUGUAAUGAACAUAGUGAUCACUGGGAACCUGGAAGUAGAGACUCCUUUGCGCCGUCCCGCCGUCCCUCUGGCUGCUGCGAAUCCCCCCGCCAGCCUCCAGGACCCCGGGCUGGCUCAACGCCCCCACCGGCCCCGCCGCCCCAGGGCCCGCUACGCGCCCGGCAUAAUGGGAGAAAAAUCAGGACGGAAAGGCCCAGCCCCUCGCCAUGCAGACGGGAAGCUCGGCCUGCACAUGUGAGGACCCUUACGCCCCUUGGGGCUUCACCCCCUUUGCUGGCUCCAAUAGUCUGGGUCGGGGCCUCCUUGUCCUGUGGGGGCCUCUGGGCCACAAGAACACAGGCCCGAGCCCCGGCGAGCUCGCGGGCCUCCCACCAGCCGUGCUCAGGCUGCACUUCUGCACCCCAGCCCUGCACCUGCGGGACCACCUGGGUCACUUUUCCAUUCUGAUAAAGUCCCCGUACUUCGUGGCUGCAGGCUCCUCAAGCCCCAGGUCUGUGCAGGGAUGAGCAAAACAGCAGAAUAUCCGCGCUACAUCUUUCUGGAGCACCCAUUUUACUACCAGAUUUGGAAGGAACAAAGUUAAGUAAUUUCCAGGAUAAGUAAUUAAAAUUUUAUGAUGAAAAGGCUGGAAACUCUUCUCCUGGUAAUAACUGUCAGACAUAUCUGUGCCUGAAAUGUCAGACUUUCUCUGAGAAAAAAACUGAGAACCUGUUUCCCAUUAUUUUAAAUAGGAAACAUUAUAGGGCACAGCAAGUCAAUAGAAAAAAACCUACCAAUUUCCUAAUUCACAGUGUGGCAGUAGGUUUAAGUUGCACGUAAGUUAGCAGGUAAAAUGCUUAAAUGUUACCACGUGGUCACCCACAUUUGAUAUGGUUGUUAACAUGCAGUUGCCUUGGAUGCAGUAGCUUUGGCUUGAGACCAGCAACAUCACACGUGAACCUCUCCUUUGUCAACACACCAAAGCUUUUUGAAGUGACCGUCAUGAUCCUGAUGGUCUACCAGUUGUUUCUGGAAGCAACAUGUGGCUUUUCCAGCAAAGUAUUUAGUUUAAAAUGUUGUAAUUUUUGAAAGCUCAAACAUUAUCUCUACAACCAUCAGCCGAAAAAUUUGAGACAGGUUCUUGCUCUUUUGCCUGAACUGCACCAUGAUAGGGGCUCCAGCGAUCCACCUGCUUCAGCCUCCCCAGAAGCUGAGACCACAGGUGUGUGCCACCAUGCCUGUUAAUUUCUAAAUUUUUUGUAGAAAUUACAUCUCCCCACAUUGCCGAGGCUGGUCUUGAACUUCUAGACUCAAGCAAUUUUCCUGACUUGGCCUCCUAAAGUGCUGGAAUUACAGACGUGAGUCACCGACCGCACCUAGCCUGAAAAAUGUUUUGUGAGAUAAAUAGCUGCUAUACAGUUUAGAUAUUAAAAACUAAGAUGUGUUCUCCCAGGAAAGUAAUAAUUUUGGAUAUAUUCUGUGUCACAUCCUGUAUGAUGAAAUAGAUGGCAAAAGAAUCCCAUUUAAUUUAAAGAUGGAAGCUGUAACUUCAAGUAAAUUUGGAGCUGAGGAGUCCUUUCGGGCUAUGACCCCAGAAUUCUGGGGUUCUCUGUACUGAUAUUUUGCUAGUGUCCACACACAAGCAUUCCUUAAUGCUGUGCGUUAAACAAAUAGACCUUCUUUGACCCCAGAUUUCUCUCCAUUUACCAUUCUGUUUCUCUGCUCCAUGCAACUACCUCACCUCAUGUCCUCUCUUGAACCCACUCCUUUCUAGCUUUUCUCCAGGGUACUUUGCUGAAACGACUUUUAUCUCAGUCAUUUAGCUGCAUUUGACACAGAUGAUACAAUUAAGGAGUUCCUCCUUGAAACUCUUUCUUCUGGAUUUUAAAGACCUUCCGUCCUGGAUUCCCUCUCACCUUUUUCUUCAUCCUCCUGCUCCUCCUCUACCAGAUCUCUAGUGAUCCUCUCAGAAUGAUCCCACAUAGUCUCAUAGCUUUAAAUACCAUCCAUCUGUUGAUAACCACUAGGCUUGGGGCCUCUUCCCUGAGGGGAGCACCAAGAGUCUUCCCUGACUCUUUUCCCUUCGCCCCCAACCCCCAUGCAACCAUACAGCAAGUCCUGUGGCUCUUGAGUGCAACCAGCAACCUGAUUCACCAUCUCCAUUUCCACAACCAGUUUCAGUCAUCUUCCUCUCCUACUGGUCUACUGCCAAAAAUCCUCCUACUGCCAAAAAUCCUCCAACCUCCCUGCAUCCUAUCUUGCCCUCCUGCAGUCCAGCCUCCACUCAAGCAUCCAGAGUGAUCUCUUGAAAAUGUUAAAACAUGAUAUAAGCAUACCCCCACCCCUGUGUAAACCCUGCCACUGUCUACUCAUUGCAGUAGAAUAAAAGUUCAGACAACCUGGUGCCUGCCUCUUAAGCCUCAUCUCCUACCCUUGCUUGUUCUUGCUAUGUGGGUCAGAUUUUCCGGUCUCCAGAGCUGAAAACAAUCUUAACUGACAGGCAUUAGAUCAUAGACUCUAUCUACAGCAUAAGGCAUGGAAGGAAAAGUCUGAGAGAAUGAAGGGCCAGAAAAGUUCAUUUAAAAAAAAUAAAAAGCACAGGAAACUGGAAACAUAACUAACCUGUAUGUAUAUACUCAAAAGAACAUGGCAGCAAAAUGAACUCUUUAGAAACUGAGCCAACAGACUUGCAAAUGAAUAGAAAUACCUUUGGUCCUACUCUGAAAACAAAAAGAAUCCUUAGUGAAUAUACAAGAACAAAAAUUGUACACAUUUCUGGGUCAUAAUGCAAUAAAACUAGAAAUAAUCGAAAGAGAAUUUAAAGAUGUUCAGCUUCCUGAAAAUGUCAGAUUAUCCUUUUAAACAAAUUAAUGCCUAUGUCAGGGUGCAAAUCCAAAACACAAAUACCUUGCCUAUAAAAAUAUAUUUUUUCAAGCAACAGUGUAUCAGGAUGUAAGGAGAGAGCUCACUAACUCAGAAGCUCCCAGAGUGACCAGAUGUGUUCAUGGGAACCGGAGCACUGCCCUGGAGUCAUUUGACAUCACCUUAUUACAAACAGGAACAGCCAUGAUGGGGAAUGCUCAGAUGCCAGUAAUAAGUCAGAGGAUUCCCUCCUGAACGGGACCUCCCAGUCCUUUUUGGCACAGGGUUCCAGGUGUGACCACAAAUCCAUGGGUGAGGGCUUUCAAGAUCAACCUGCCCUCAGGCAGUGGAGUGGAAACUGGAACUAGCAGCUACAGUGGAAAAAAGGAAUGUCCUCUCAGAAUAUGUCAUCUGCCCCAUGCAAAGACUCUGGAUCUCAGAAGUCCUCCUGGUAAGGACUCGGAGCCAGACAACUUCAUUUCCUGUCACCUGGGCUGCUCUCCCUCUGACAGCUAUGGAAAUUGGUGAAGCACAGGAACGUAUUGGAAAUGGCAAUGAUGUGCAAUGCCAAUGUGUGGAAGUGUACAAGUUAAGUAAUAUUUUAAAAACAGAACACACAGCAGUUUGCACAAUCUGAUCAAAGCUCUGUCAUGUAUGUUUCUAAACAAGUUUGGAAGAGAAUUUGGAAAUGGCUGAAUUUUUUUAAUAAAGCUCAUGUUUUUAGUUUGUUUAAAUGUAAAAGCAUACACUUAGAAACAAGUUAGUACAUAAGAAUUUUUAAUCUUAGCUAUCUGGAAGCUUCAAAUACCUAGAAUGAGGCAUUUCCCAAAGGUCUCUGUAACUUGAAUUUUACCGUAGUUUGAAAACUCUUGCCAGGCAUACUGGCUCACACAGGUAAUCCCAGCACUUUGGGAGAUUGAGGUGGGCAGAUUGCUUGAGCUAGGAGUUAGAGACCAGCCUGGGCAACAUGGUGAAACCCCAUCUCUACAAAAAAUUUAAAAAUUAGCUGGGAGUGGUGGCACUGCCGUUUGACACAGCUACUCAGGAGGCUGGGGUGGGAGGAUCCUUGAGCCCGGGAGGUCCAGGCUGCAGUGAGCCAUGAUUGCAUCCCUGUACUUCAACCUGGGCAACAGUGCCAGACCCUGCCCCCUCCCCCAAAAGAAAACUAUUAGUUCAUAGUGCAGUUGAUGAAAUAAUGUACAUCCACAAAGAAAGGAGCAACCAUAAUAUGUAUAUAAUUACUCAGUAUUAAAAUAUUGUAUAUAGUAUUACAUAUAUAAUAUUGAAUACCUAUAAUGAAUGGGGCACUGCUUUAAGCACUGUAUACUCAUUAUCCCACAAGAAUUCCUUCUCGGGUAGGUCUUAGUAUAUUCAAUUUAAAGGCUAAUUAGUAAGCAAUACAUAGAAUUGAACAAGAAGCUAAAACAUAGAAGGCUCUCGAAAAUACAAUGUGGAAUGAGUAAUGCAAGUUACAGAGAUACAUAGCACAUUUAUAGAAAGUGUAAAAACUUACAAAGUUAAACACUAUAUUAUUUAGAUAAACAAUAUAUUAUUUAGAGAUGUUAUUAUGUAAUAAAAGUAUAAAAGUCAGGGAAAUAAUAUGUUUUGUAAAGCUUCAGAUGAAUGAUUGUCCUAGAUGGGGAGGCAAAUGGUUACAUUUCCAAAGGGCCAACCAUGAAGACGGCUUCAAAUGUAGUGGUGUAGGUGAUGGAUACAAUGUAUUUAUUUUACUUUUAUGUGAGUCUGUGUGUAUGUAUGUGUGUGAGUGUGUGUGCAAUUUUGUAUGUAUAAAUAUGUAGUAAUUUUUUUUUGAGUUUGGGUGUUUCUCUGUCUCCCAGGCUGAAGUGCAGUGGCAUGAUCACGGCUCACUGCAGCCUCCACCUCUCAGGCUCAAGUGAUGCUUCCACCUCAGCCUCCUGAGUACCUGGGACUACAACUGUGGGACACAGUACUUCUUCUCUAGGCUACCCAUGGGGUACCCCAACAGCGUUGCCACCACAUACAAUCUUCAUAGAGCUCUUAACUGCAUCCAGCUUUCUCCAGGAGCUCAGGAUGCCCCAGACCCUCAUCGCAGACAGCAUUGCCCUGGAGCUUAUGGCUGGAGAUGAUAUCACCACAGACAUCCCCAACCCAGCCCUGUCCUGGGAGCAGGAUUCUGGCCUCCCUAUUAGGCCUCAGAAACUGGCUGACCACCUGGCUUCACAAACCUGUGUGUUUUCAGGGAAAAUUUUGAUCUCUACAAACCAUGACAUGUAGAGAGGGACACACAUCUGAUUCAGCAGUCCCUGAUCCGCUGAUCCAUGGACACAUUUGCCCACAAGGAAUAACCUAGAAUUUCUCUCUGGUGGAGGUCAGGGGCAUUACAUGAGCUGAGUAGAGCUUAGUUUUUAAUCACUAGACAUAGGCAAGGUGUUUAAGUUAUUACGCUUCCAAGCAGCAUGGUCCUCACUCACUCAAGGUGAGAUAAAUAUUGCUGCAAAGGAACAACAGCUGCAUUGUUGGAGUUUUGCUUUUGAGGCGUGUGUGUGUGUGUGUGUGUGUGUGUGCAUUUGUGUGUGUGUGCGUGAGUUGAUUUCUUUCACAAAAUACAUUUUCACAUACUUCCUUACUCCAAUCUACAUUGCCCCUUCCUUUUAAAUAAAUUUUUUUGAAAAC